rnacentral:tRNA from 1 species
UCCCCGGUGAUGUAACGGCAACAUGCUUGACUGUUAAUCAAGUCUUGGUGGUUCGAAUCCACCCCGGGGAG